GUCUUGAGUGCCAUGCGACAAGCCCCGGCUCGCUGGCCGGCAACCCUCCUCCGCGGUGGGGUGCCCCGGGAGACGACCUGGCCCGUGGCGACCGCCACGGACAAGCGCG
rnacentral:ncRNA from 1 species